UGCAGUAGACGCUGAGAGAGGAGCUUGCUCUUCUUGGAUGAGUUGCGAACGGGUGAGUAACGCGUAGGUAACCUGCCUUGUAGCGGGGGAUAACUAUUGGAAACGAUAGCUAAUACCGCAUAACAAUGGAUGACACAUGUCAUUUAUUUGAAAGGGGCAAUUGCUCCACUACAAGAUGGACCUGCGUUGUAUUAGCUAGUAGGUGAGGUAAUGGCUCACCUAGGCGACGAUACAUAGCCGACCUGAGAGGGUGAUCGGCCACACUGGGACUGAGACACGGCCCAGACUCCUACGGGAGGCAGCAGUAGGGAAUCUUCGGCAAUGGGGGCAACCCUGACCGAGCAACGCCGCGUGAGUGAAGAAGGUUUUCGGAUCGUAAAGCUCUGUUGUAAGUCAAGAACGGGUGUGAGAGUGGAAAGUUCACACUGUGACGGUAGCUUACCAGAAAGGGACGGCUAACUACGUGCCAGCAGCCGCGGUAAUACGUAGGUCCCGAGCGUUGUCCGGAUUUAUUGGGCGUAAAGCGAGCGCAGGCGGUUUGAUAAGUCUGAAGUUAAAGGCUGUGGCUCAACCAUAGUUCGCUUUGGAAACUGUCAAACUUGAGUGCAGAAGGGGAGAGUGGAAUUCCAUGUGUAGCGGUGAAAUGCGUAGAUAUAUGGAGGAACACCGGUGGCGAAAGCGGCUCUCUGGUCUGUAACUGACGCUGAGGCUCGAAAGCGUGGGGAGCGAACAGGAUUAGAUACCCUGGUAGUCCACGCCGUAAACGAUGAGUGCUAGGUGUUGGAUCCUUUCCGGGAUUCAGUGCCGCAGCUAACGCAUUAAGCACUCCGCCUGGGGAGUACGACCGCAAGGUUGAAACUCAAAGGAAUUGACGGGGGCCCGCACAAGCGGUGGAGCAUGUGGUUUAAUUCGAAGCAACGCGAAGAACCUUACCAGGUCUUGACAUCCCGAUGCUAUUUCUAGAGAUAGAAAGUUACUUCGGUACAUCGGUGACAGGUGGUGCAUGGUUGUCGUCAGCUCGUGUCGUGAGAUGUUGGGUUAAGUCCCGCAACGAGCGCAACCCCUAUUGUUAGUUGCCAUCAUUCAGUUGGGCACUCUAGCGAGACUGCCGGUAAUAAACCGGAGGAAGGUGGGGAUGACGUCAAAUCAUCAUGCCCCUUAUGACCUGGGCUACACACGUGCUACAAUGGUUGGUACAACGAGUUGCGAGUCGGUGACGGCGAGCUAAUCUCUUAAAGCCAAUCUCAGUUCGGAUUGUAGGCUGCAACUCGCCUACAUGAAGUCGGAAUCGCUAGUAAUCGCGGAUCAGCACGCCGCGGUGAAUACGUUCCCGGGCCUUGUACACACCGCCCGUCACACCACGAGAGUUUGUAACACCCGAAGUCGGUG
rnacentral:rRNA from 1 species